UACGGAGGGUGCAAGCGUUAUCCGGAUUCACUGGGUUUAAAGGGUGCGUAGGUGGGCAGGUAAGUCAGUGGUGAAAUCUCCGGGCUUAACCCGGAAACUGCCAUUGAUACUAUCUGUCUUGAAUACCGUGGAGGUGAGCGGAAUAUGUCAUGUAGCGGUGAAAUGCUUAGAUAUGACAUAGAACACCAAUUGCGAAGGCAGCUCACUACGCGAAUAUUGACACUGAGGCACGAAAGCGUGAGGAUCAAACAGG
rnacentral:rRNA from 1 species